UCAGAGUGUGCACUUCCCAUUUGCUAAGUGGAGGAAGCAGCAAAUGCACAGGCUGAAGUGCAAAAGAAGAAAGAUGAGGCAGAGGUCCAAGUAAACUGCUAGCUCACGUACCUGCGGAAGCCACAGGAGCAGAAAUAAAGAAAGCCAGGGACGCUGGUACAAAUUGCUGGACUACAUGCCUACUUUCUAGAACU